UGCAUCUGCAGGAGCUAGGUGGGUUGUCCUUGGGAGAAGAUGGCACUGGGACAGAGGGCUCUCUGAGUCCAUCUCUCUCUGUUUUGCCACACAUUAGUGCAGGGCUUGAGGAGUCCAAGAAUUCUGGGAACCUUAAGAAGGCAUGUUUGUCAAGGCAGAAAUCACAAAGGGCAGCUCAGUACUGAGAAAUACAAGGAAUGAAAGUGCUGAUCUUCCAACAAAGAGAACACAGGUGCUAUGAGGUUUCAGAAUUACAACAGUCCAAGUUCAUCAGGAUUGCUGUUCUCCAACUACAAGAGCAAAAUAAAACAGAAAACAAAGGGAUGAAAGAGCUGUAGUUUCUUGAAGAUUGACUUAUCUGAGAGAGAGACAAGGAGUGCGCACACCCGCGGAUGCAUGGGAGCUGAAAGGAGCAAUAAAAAGAGGGACAAGGAGACUCCAUGCUGACUGCAGAGCCAACAUGGGGCUCAAAUCCAGGACCCUGAGAUCAUGACCUGAGUGAAAUUAAGAGCCAAACACUUAACCAACUGGACCACCCAGGGCUAGGAAUGGGAUUUGGGGUGGGUUUCCACCAUUCCCUAAUUGAUAUAGGUGGCUCACAGCACUUAAACUAUACAAACA